GCCGUAUUAGCUAGUUGGUAAGGUAACGGCUUACCAAGGCAACGAUACGUAGCCGACCUGAGAGGGUGAUCGGCCACACUGGAACUGAGACACGGUCCAGACUCCUACGGGAGGCAGCAGUAGGGAAUCUUCCGCAAUGGGCGAAAGCCUGACGGAGCAACGCCGCGUGAGUGAUGAAGGUCUUCGGAUCGUAAAACUCUGUUAUCAGGGAAGAACAAAUGUGUAAGUAACUGUGCACAUCUUGACGGUACCUGAUCAGAAAGCCACGGCUAACUACGUGCCAGCAGCCGCGGUAAUACGUAGGUGGCAAGCGUUAUCCGGAAUUAUUGGGCGUAAAGCGCGCGUAGGCGGUUUUUUAAGUCUGAUGUGAAAGCCCACGGCUCAACCGUGGAGGGUCAUUGGAAACUGGAAAACUU
rnacentral:rRNA from 1 species